AGUGAACGCUGGCGGUAGGCCUAACACAUGCAAGUCGAACGGCAGCACAGUAAGAGCUUGCUCUUACGGGUGGCGAGUGGCGGACGGGUGAGGAAUACAUCGGAAUCUACUUUUUCGUGGGUGAUAACGUAGGGAAACUUACGCUAAUACCGCAUACGACCUACGGGUUAAAGCAGGGGAGCUUCGGACCUUGCGCGAUUGAAUUAGCCGAUGUCGGAUUAGCUAGUUGGCGUGGUAAAGGCCCACCAAGGCAACGAUCCGUAGCUGGUCUGAGAGGAUGAUCAGCCACACUGGAACUGAGACACGGUCCAGACUCCUACGGGAGGCAGCAGUGGGGAAUAUUGGACAAAGGGCGCAAGCCUGAUCCAGCCAUACCGCGUGGGUGAAGAAGGCCUUCGGGUUGUAAAGCCCUUUUGUUGGGAAAGAAAAGCAGCAGGUUAAUACCCCGCUGUUCUGACGGUACCCAAAGAAUAAGCACCGGCUAACUUCGUG
rnacentral:rRNA from 1 species